AGCGAACGCUGGCGGCAGGCUUAACACAUGCAAGUCGAGCGGGCCCUUCGGGGUCAGCGGCCGACGGGUGAGUAACACGUUGGAACGUACCCUUUGGUUCGGAAUAACGCUGGGAAACUAGCGCUUAUACCGGAUACGCCCUUUUGGGGAAAGGCUUGCUGCCGCAGGAUCGGCCCGCGUCUGAUUAGCUAGUUGGUGGGGUAAUGGCCUACCAAGGCGACGUUCAGUAGCUGGUCUGAGAGGAUGAUCAGCCACACUGGGACUGAGACACGGCCCAGACUCCUACGGGAGGGAGGAGUGGGGAAUAUUGGACAGUGGGCGAAAGCGUGAUCCAGCCAUGCCGCGUGAGUGAUGAAGGCCUUAGGGUUGUAAAGCUCUUUUGGCCGGGACGAUAAUGACGGUACCGGAAGAAUAAGCCCCGGCUAACUUCGUG
rnacentral:rRNA from 1 species